rnacentral:rRNA from 1 species
UCCGUAGGUGAACCUGCGGAAGGAUCAUUACCGAGUUAGGGUCUUUAUGGCCUGACCUCCAACCCUUUGUCUAUUAUACCAAUGUUGCUUUGGCGGGCCCGCCUUUCGGGGCCGCUGGGGGCUUCACCGCUCCUGGCCCGUGCCCGCCAGUAGCCAUCUUAAAUUCUUUUGAUAACUGUGUCGUCUGAAUCAAUAUUAAAUCAUUUAAAACUUUCAACAACGGAUCUCUUGGUUCUGGCAUCGAUGAAGAACGCAGCGAAAUGCGAUAAGUAAUGCGAAUUGCAGAAUUCAGUGAGUCAUCGAAUCUUUGAACGCAUAUUGCGCCCUUUGGUAUUCCGAAGGGCAUGCCUGUUCGAGCGUCAUUAUCAACCAUCAAGCUAAGCUUGUCGUUGGACCCCUUUGUCGCCUGGCGACAGGUCCGAAAGAUAAUGAACGGUGUCAUGGCGACCCUAUAUGCAACGAGCUUGUAAAUAGCACGCAUUUUGGUGGUCGUCUGGCCCAAUCGUCACCUAUUUAUUUUUUCUCCAGGUUGACCUCGGAUCAGGUAGGAAUACCGGCUGAACUUAAGGCAUAUCAAUAAGGCGGGAGGGGAAGGUCGGACUGGCCAAGGGCACACAGGGGGGGAUA